GAUGAACGCUGGCGGCGUGCUUAACACAUGCAAGUCGAACGGAAAGGCUCCUGCUUGCAGGGGUACUCGAGUGGCGAACGGGUGAGUAACACGUGGGUGAUCUGCCCUGCACUUCGGGAUAAGCCUGGGAAACUGGGUCUAAUACCGGAUAGGACGAUGGUUUGGAUGCCAUUGUGGAAAGUUUUUCGGUGUGGGAUGAGCUCGCGGCCUAUCAGCUUGUUGGUGGGGUAAUGGCCUACCAAGGCGUCGACGGGUAGCCGGCCUGUGAGGGUGUACGGCCACAUUGGGACUUGGAUACGGCCCAGACUCCGACGGGAGGCAGCAGUGGGGAAUAUUGCACAAUGGGCGCGAGCCUGAUGCAGCGACGCCGCGUGGCGGAUGACGGCCUUCGGGUUGGAAACUCCUUUCGCUAGGGACGAAGCGUUUUGUGACGGUACCUGGAGAAGAAGCACCGGCUAACUACGUG
rnacentral:rRNA from 1 species